rnacentral:lncRNA from 1 species
AACCACAACAAUAAAUUAAGCCAUGUUCUUAAAAUAUUCAGAUGUGCAAUAAUAUUACUUUUCCAGAAUUGAAUACUCAAAAGAAAAAUACAUAACUCCAGCAGCUACCAAUUCCUAUCACAAAUACCAAGAUACACACUUCAAAUACAAUAAAUCAUUAACUUGUACUAUUCUCUAUAUUUAAUAUCCUCAGCAAAGCCUUGCGUCCUGCAAAACUUUAGGCAACUUAAUUCUGAGGUCGGGAUACGUAAAAAUCAUAUAAAAAGUUAAUCUAAAUUUUCUUGAAAUUUUGCAUAGCCAAACUGCAGGUUUCAUGUGAACAUUAUUUGUUAUGUGACAUCCAUGAGAUUAAGUUUAGAAUUUAUUUUUUUACUUUUAGCCAAAGUAUAGUAAUUUUUUGUAGUGUUUAGAUGUUUACUCUUUAUUAGCAUAAAAACCACUGCUCACAUUCACAUGAGAGACUUUUACACAUUGAGAAGAGGACCCCAGGGAAAUUUAAGACAAAUCACAAUAAACUCCCACUAAUCUUUGUCAUAUUCCAAACAAAUGUAUUCAACAUCAACACCUUGAAUUUCAUACGGGAUAAUUGUAAUUUAUCAUUGAAUUAUUUGGAGAAAUUACAUGGCUUAGAUAUGUUUGUAAUAGGAUCGAUGUCCGUAAGUCUUAUUCCCUAAACAUAAUGACUCACCGACUAUAUAAAAGGCACGGAUCUAGUUACCUUCUGAAAUUUCACAAAGCCAGAUGAACAGGGUUUUAUGGUCAGUCAAUGACCCUUGGAUGUCAAAGGAGUCCUUGAGGUGAUCUCAUAGUCUGAAAAUCAAUGUGCCUAAAAGGAAGAAGAUUGGAGAAACAAUCGUCUUAGCGCGUGGCUAUUAAAUUUCCCAUGAUUCCUCCACCAACCUCAAAAAGUUUGGCAGAAGAAAAGCUGACUCCUAAAGCAAGCUUCUCCAACUCAUCUCCUGCAUUUAAACAUGUUAUAAGAAUGUGAUAGUACAAUUCUCUUUUUUCAAGAACGUGAUA